rnacentral:tRNA from 1 species
GCAUUCGUGGUGUAGUGGUCAGCACACUCGGCGCGUAUUCGAGAGGUCCGAAGUUCAAAUCCUGGCCAGAGCA